UGGGGAAUAUUGGACAAUGGGGGCAACCCUGAUCCAGCGACGCCGCGUGUGUGAAGAAGGCCUGCGGGUUGUAAAGCACUUUUAGUGGGGAUGAAAAGCCGAGGGCUAAUACCUUUCGGUCUUGACCUAACCCAAAGAAAAAGCACCGGCUAACUCUGUGCCAGCAGCCGCGGUAAUACAGAGGGUGCAAGCGUUAAUCGGAAUUACUGGGCGUAAAGCGUGCGUAGUCGGCUUUUCAAGUCGGGUGUGAAAGCCCCGGGCUCAACCUGGGAAUUGCAUUCGAUACUGGAUGGCUAGAGUUCGGCAGAGGGAAGUGGAAUUUCCGGUGUAGCGGUGAAAUGCGUAGAUAUCGGAAGGAACAUCAGUGGCGAAAGCGACUUCCUGGACCAGAACUGACGAUCAGGCACGAAAGCGUGGGGAGCAAACAGG
rnacentral:rRNA from 1 species